AUGGCUCCUACCGAGGCUGAGGAUGAUGUAGAGGAGGGAGAAGAGAAGAAGAAGAAGAGGGAAAGGAAGGCAGCCGGAGCUGCUUUCACGUGGAUUCAAAAUAACUUUGCGACGUGCCCUCUGGAUGCAACUGAUGAUGUGAUCCAGACACAUGCUCGUGUGUAUAUGUGGUACAUUGUGUCGAGGACUUUGUUUCCUGACUCCACUGGCAAGAACGCUCCAUGGAUGUGGCUGAAGGCGUUGACCGUCUUCGAUAGCAAAUGGAGCUGGGGUUCAGCGACUCUUGCCUACUUGUACCGACAGGUAGUUGGUCUGUUUUGUGAUCAACUCAUUUAUUCAUUAGCAAUGCAAGCUUGUUGUCAAGUUAACAUCGUUUUUCUUUCAUAUGUAGCUGGAUGA
rnacentral:rRNA from 1 species